rnacentral:lncRNA from 1 species
AUGUGGAUUUGGUUUUGGUUUUGGUUUGGGGAAGAAAGAUGAAUGCUUUUGAUUCAAAAUUUUAAAAUACCCAAAGUACUUUUUUCACUUCUCUCGGAUUUUAAGUCAUCAUAGUAAUUGUCUGAUUGAGGGUUGGAUGAACUUACGGUGCCAUCGCAUUGGCGUAACACAUAUAUUCUUAUACGAGUGACAUCCGACCAUGUUUGUGGAUUUAAAAAAUAAGAGAGCUGAUAAAAUAUGGGUGUUUGGCAUCCUAUUUAAAUUACUAGAACUUCAACAGGGAUGAGUUUCUUGAGAGAGAAGAGAGAGAAGACUUAGAGAGAGAGAGUGUGUAAGGUUUCUUUAAUUAAAUAUCAUUUUAUUUUUACAAAAUAGUCUUUUUAUAUAAUUUAUUUAUACAAUAACCCCUGAAAAGAUGAAAAGACAAAGAUACCCUCAUGUGCAAGGCACAUGACCAUACUUAACCAAAAAAAUCUAACUGGAUUAGUGCUAAAGGACAUAACGUGCAUGAUUUUGAAACGUUAAGGACAAAACUCGUCAAAUUUAAAGACAAAGGACACCGCCUGCAAUUUGGUACAAACAUAAAGGACAAAACUUGUAAUUUACUCUAAUUUAUAUCUAAAGCCAACUUCUACAUACACAUACAAACAAAGACAUUAAACGCCACUAACCUUACAAAAGCUGAAUCCGAGUAAGUGUUGGCACGCAGUUGUCUACAUGUGUUUCUUAUGAACUGGUAAGUAAUGCAAAUCUUAUGAGGCGUUACAAUUUUGCAGACUUUUGACAAUGCCUAGUCUUUCCAUCCCAUGUCUUUAUUCAAAUAAAAACAUUGUAUGCAGUUGCUGUUAAUUUUUCAGGCUUUAACUAAAAACUCUUUUUUUUUGGAUAGUCGAAAUGCAUUUGAUAAACUUCAAAUGAAUUUCAAUGAACUUAGUUAGGAUAGAGUUGUUUUGGGAGUCAAAGUCAAACAGUUUGGUCAAAGUUCAAAGUUCAGUGCAUAUCCAGGUCUCAGUUUAGUUCUUACUCCAAGUAUCCAAAGAACUGUUACUUACGAAUGGGUAGUAGAUUCAUUCAAGAUAUUAAUAUUUCUAAUGAUUAUAAAUUCUAAAAAAUUAGGACAUAAUUCAUUCAAAA